rnacentral:misc_RNA from 1 species
UCCAAAAGCGGUGCCGUAUUGCUACUGCGUGCCUGUUGUGGCGGUGGUGGCGCUUUCACCCUCAAUGCCACCGCAUAAGUUUCAUAGCCACGGCCCACGGAAACAACAGCAGCUUCGGGUAACAGUCUGACCUGAACAUUUCUGGAAUCACUGGUGCCAUUGAGCGUAACAUCAUCUGAUUUGAUUGAAGAAUGGGUAGGAUUAACGAAGAAUCCUUGAAAUUCCUCGACAUCGUCAUCUUCCCCUUCUUCGGCAUUCUCAUCGGCUUCAGGAAUCGGAAUAAAUCUUCCACCGGCAGUUGGAGAAAGCAAUGGCUCAUCAUCAUCAUAGGAUCUCGAAUCAGAGGUUUUUGGAUUUAGAGAUACUGGCUGGGGGUCGUGGCUUUCUUGGGGUGGUCUUAAUGGCUCUGGGUGAAGAUUCGACCACCAAAACUUUUUUCUCUUCAAGUUUGGGCUGCUUGUCGCUGUUGGAAUUGUUAUCGGCAUUGGUGUUCUGAACGGCGUCAUUUUGUGGGUGAAGAUUCUUGUGGAUGGCGAGUAAAGGAACAUCUUUCCAGGUAGAGUUGCAGACGGGGCACACAAGGCUGCCAUGCUUACGGACAUGGGCGGCUAUACAAGGGAAGUGAAAAGCGUGUGCGCAUUCUGCUGUGUAUAUUGCCGUGCCCUGACCUGUCUUCACGCUAUUCAAACAGAUUCCGCAGCUACUCCUGAAUUUGAAGCUAUUCUUGAAGAGGGACAGCUUAAGAGGAGAUCGAGGAGAGGAUGGGUUUGAACUCUUAGCUGCUCUGGGUGUGGUUUUGCAAUGGAGCACGGGACUUUCAUUCGUGGAAGGUGGUUCCGAAGUAUUACUUGUAGUUCGGCAACGUAAGCUUGGGCUAGAGAUGGGCUGCGACCGUAGGCGAGGCGUGGCGGGG